rnacentral:rRNA from 1 species
GACGAACGCUGGCGGCGUGCUUAACACAUGCAAGUCGAACGAAAAGGCCCUGCUUUUGUUGGGUUCUCGAGUGGCGAACGGGUGAGUAACACGUGAGUAACCUGCCCUUGACUUUGGGAUAACUUCAGGGAACUGGGGCUAAUACCGGGUAGGAGCUCCUGCUGCAUGGUGGGGGUUGGAAAAUUUCGGCGGUUGGGGAUGGACUCGCGGCUUAUCAGCUUGUUGGUGGGGUAGUGGCUUACCAAGGCUUUGACGGGUAGCCGGCCUGAGAGGGUGACCGGCCACAUUGGGACUGAGAUACGGCCCAGACUGCUACGGGAGGCAGCAGUGGGGAAUAUUGCACAAUGGGCGGACGCCUGAUGCAGCAACGCCGCGUGCGGGAUGACGGCCUUCGGGUGGUAAACCGCUUUCGCCUGUGACGAAGCGUGAGUGACGGUAAUGGGCAAAGAAGCACCGGCUAACUACGUG